rnacentral:rRNA from 1 species
UGGGGAAUUUUGGACAAUGGGCGCAAGCCUGAUCCAGCCAUACCGCGUGAGUGAAGAAGGCCUUCGGGUUGUAAAGCUCUUUCAGACGGAAAGAAACGGUUACGGCUAAUACCCGUGACUAAUGACGGUACCGUAAGAAGAAGCACCGGCUAACUACGUGCCAGCAGCCGCGGUAAUACGUAGGGUGCGAGCGUUAAUCGGAAUUACUGGGCGUAAAGCGUGCGCAGGCGGUUUGGUAAGACAGAUGUGAAAUCCCCGGGCUUAACCUGGGAACUGCAUUUGUGACUGCCAGACUAGAGUGUAGCAGAGGGGGGUAGAAUUCCACGUGUAGCAGUGAAAUGCGUAGAUAUGUGGAGGAAUACCGAUGGCGAAGGCAGCCCCCUGGGCUAACACUGACGCUCAUGCACGAAAGCCCAGGGGAGCAAACGGGAUUAGAUACCCUUGUAGUCCCUGAGCGGGCUGGCAAGGCGCAU